AGUUCAAGUGAGUUUUUUAUGCUUAGAACUCAUCAAAAGCAAAUUUUUAAAACUGGACAUGAUGUUCGAUUUAAAAUUUGUUUUGAAAGUGUGCCACGGCGGAUUGAGAGCGCUAGUGAGGUUCGACUUCGACAAGGGUCGACCGAUUGUCGUUAGUCGCUGUGAAGUGUCUGCCAUGUUGAACUUUUAGGUGUUUUGGGGCGUAUUAAUCAUCGAAAGGCCUAUUACAAAAAUAUUCAACUGCACCUACUUAUUUUCGUUAGUUUAGUAUGUGAAAUCGUUGAAAAUAUUACGGUUUGUGGCUGUUUGAUGUGUGUUUCUGUGACAAAAACUGGAUCGAGAACCGGGGACUUGUGUUUUCACGGAGUGUUUCAUCAGAUGUACACAUGAUUGCGUAUUUCAAGUGUAAUGUAUUUGUUUCAUCACAUUUCUAACUCAUGUUAUUGCUUUGAAUUGAACAUUUGACGUGAUUGACGCUUCAGAAAUUAUGUUGACGAAUUUAUUACUGUUCGAUUGCCAUGCAGAAUUCACAUGUUUGAGGCGCCACUUUGUUAUUAUUUUGCUACAGUGUUUUUGACCCAAGUGGGCGAGUUUAUGUCUGAGCCUAUGUCUAGGGGGUGUGCGCGUAGCUUUGAUGGGCUGUGAAAACGAGGUCGGAUUCUUGCCUAGUUUUAAAUUGAACAGUUUUUAUUUAAUUUCGCAAUUGGCGCCUAAUAAUUUAAAAAAAUUCUAUUCAACUAGUGAAGUCAAUAAACUGUGACUACGACAAAGCUGUAAGUGAAAUUGAUACAGACGUCUAGCUUGUUUUGAUUGAUAGGUAGAACAAGUUUGAAGGUUAGGUGACCAGAAUUUUUGAAUAUUGACCACACAAGCGUUUUAGAAAAUUGAUGCUAGUUAGUAAAUACCAACUUAUCACAUAAUUUCCAAUUAAACUUGAAUGUUUGACACUUAUGUUGCCUAAUAGAAACGAAAGAAGACAGACACUGCCAUCAAGACUGAUGAAUGGACUUUUGUUUGUUUGUACAGACGAUUUAGAAGAAAGAUAAUGAAAAUUCUCAGUUACGUUAUUCUAUGUUAUGUAACAGGCUCUAUUGUUUUGAUUGAUAGAGUUGUUUGAGACAUAGCUAAUAAAUUCCCGCUCUUUGUGAGGUUAGUUGUGUUGUUUUUGUGGACUGUUUGAUUGAGUACUGAUAAGUUAGGUUAGGUGUUGAGUUCCAGUACUUGUUUUUGUGGACUGUUAAUAAGUUAGGUUAGGAGAGUUACAUUCUGAAGGUUGUAAUGGUACUUUGGAGUGGUUUUUGUGGACUGUUAUGUUAGGUGUGAUUAUUUGAUGGUAGUUUGGAGUGGAUUUAAGUGAGCCUGGAGCCGACGGGUGGGGGGACUGCAGAUGGUUCGUCGAUGGUGUUGUUGAAUGCUGAGUUGGCGUCGUCCGCCACUCGAGCCGCCUCAAUGGACAGCUCGGUGGCCGCCGCGCCGCCUAAGCGCAACUGCGACCUCUGGCGCAACAAAAAGCACGAACAACUGAUGCUCAUGGAGAAGCAGAAACCAAAAGUGACGGUGCUAACCGGAGGCAGCGGCGGCGGCAGCGUGACGGGGGCCGGUGAUGGUGGUGCCGGUGGCGGAGGGGCCGGGGGCCAUGCGCCCCUCUACGGUCGACUGGUGGCCGAGGAGUCUCUGGCCUCCCUGCAGGCAGCCGCGCUUCGCUCGGUGCCCGCGUCCGACAUCCAGGCCAUGCAGGCCAGGAUACCACACCAUUUCCGUAAUCCCGCUCAGGCGCCGUUACGGAAGCUCAGCGUCGACCUCAUCAAGACCUACAAGCAUAUUAACGAGGUGUACUAUGCGAAGAAGAAGCGACGCGCGCAGCAGACGCUGCAGGGGGAUGACAGCGCGGGGGGUGGACAGCACAAGAAGGAGAGGAAGGUGUACAAUGAUGGCUAUGACGAUGACAACCAUGACUACAUCAUCAAGAACGGAGAGAAGUUCCUCGACCGGUACGAGAUCGACUCGCUCAUCGGCAAGGGAUCCUUCGGACAGGUGGUGAAGGCAUACGACCACGAAGAACAGUGCCAUGUAGCGAUAAAGAUAAUCAAGAACAAGAAGCCCUUCCUCAACCAGGCCCAGAUCGAGGUCAAACUACUCGAAAUGAUGAACAAAGCCAAUGCUGAAAACAAGUAUUAUAUAGUGUACCUGAAGCGGCACUUUAUGUGGCGCAACCACCUCUGCCUGGUGUUCGAGCUGCUGUCCUACAAUUUGUAUGAUUUGUUGCGCAACACGAACUUCCGCGGCGUGUCGCUGAACCUGACGCGCAAGUUCGCGCAACAGCUGUGCACCGCGCUGCUCUUCCUGAGCACACCCGAGCUCAACAUAAUCCACUGCGACCUCAAGCCGGAGAACAUUCUGCUCUGCAACCCCAAGCGCAGCACCAUCAAGAUUGUCGACUUUGGCAGCUCCUGUCAGCUCGGCCGCCGCAUAUACCAGUACAUUCAGUCGAGGUUCUACCGAUCUCCGGAGGUGCUGCUGGGAAUUCCGUAUGACCUGGCCAUCGACAUGUGGAGUCUCGGCUGCAUCCUCGUCGAGAUGCACACUGGCGAACCCCUCUUCAGCGGAUCCAAUGAAGUGGACCAGAUGAACAAGAUUGUUGAAGUUCUGGGCAUGCCGCCGAAGCACCUGCUUGACUCGGCGCACAAGACGCGGCGCUACUUCGAGUACGUGUCGACGGGCGACGGCUACGACGGCUCCUAUGUGCUCAAGAAGUUCAAGGACAUGAAGAAGUACAAGCGGCCGGGCACGCGGCGUCUGCACGACAUCCUCGGCGUCGAGGUGGGGGGACCGGGAGGUCGUCGCAUAGGCGAGCCCGGCCACUCGCCGCAGGAGUACCUCAAAUUCAAGGACCUGAUCACGCGUAUGUUGGACUACGACCCAAAGACGCGAAUCACGCCGUUCUACGCGCUGCGGCACAACUUCUUCAAGCGAACGGCAGACGAGGCCACCAACACCACCACCUCCUCCUCCUCCACAUCGGCCACGGUCGGGGGAGGGGGCAGCACCAGUCCUACCCCCCUCUCCUCCUCCGCCUCGGCAUCGCUCCUUGUUGAACCGGUGCCUCCCAGCCAGGCGCAGUCAUCUAAUCAAUCAGACGCUCAACCAAAUCAACCAACCAGCGCCCUGGUUGCGCGAUGACAGCCAAUCGAUGGUCUUACAUCAACCACGCUAGAUUAGAGCUAGAUUGACCUAACCAGGGGGGCACGCCUAGGGGGCCUCGGCCACCAACCGAUGGACGUAGAGCCGUCGGCCUCCUGCUUCCCGUGCCACUACCACCUGCCGUCUCGGCCGCACUACCCGGGCGCCGCUAGGGGCGUCGCCUCCCAGGGGGCGUCGCAACUGUUCAUGACGUCGGGACCAGCGUCCCUGCCUCCCGACCUGGCAGCGCCCAUCAACACCUCCUAUCUGCCCACCACCGGACCCACGGUCCUCAGUCUGACCGGGUUCCAGAGUGCGGGUAGCGGCGGUCACCCUUCCAACACCAACACCUCGUCCACGUCGCAGGCGGACGACGACUCGCCGAUGGUGGGGGUGUGUGUGCAGCAGAGCCCUGUGGCCAGCCACUAGCAACCAGCCGACACCACUACACAUGCCAGCAACCCACUCCAGUUGUAGACUAUGUGUGUAUGUGUGUGUGUGUGUGACGCCACCCACAUCGGGGACUAGUCCAAGUGUAUUGUGCUAACCAACUAUUGCUAGAUUAUGUAUGAAGGUUAUGAUUAUAUAUCACUGUAUGAAGGUGAUGAUCAUGUAUAUCAUGAUCAUGUAUCAAGGUAUCUUGUAUCAUUGUAAUGAUUAUGUCUAUGAAAAUGGAUGUACCAAGGUGUCAAGGUCUCAUUGUUAUCAAGGUAAUUAUCACGUGACAAAGAAUUGCCCAUGUAUCAAGGAUCGAUCAUGAUCUAUAAUCAAAGUAAUUCAUAUAGAAGUUGAUUCAUUCAUAUGAACAAAUCAUCAAGAUCAAUGUAUGAUUCUUAUAAAAAUGUGACAAUGAUCAUGUAUCAAGGUAAUGAUGAUGAUUUGAAGUAAUUAUAAUGAAUCAAGAUAGAUAUCAUUUAUCUGGGUAAUGAUAAAAACAUAUCUUGAUGCUGCUGAUUCUUGUAUGUAAUUAUCUUCAAUCGAUGAUCAUAAUAUACCUUGAUAUUGCUGAUUCUUGGCUAUUAAUACUUUGUAUCAGAUACCUUGAUAUAAAUCCUUGAUUCUAUCAAGUUGAUGAUAAUUUAUCAAUGAAGUAAGAUGGAUAUUAAGGGGGGGAAGGGAUAGAGUUAGGAUAUUUGAUGCUGUGAUUUUGAUGUAAAGGGAGUGGCGAUUAAGCUGUAGGUGAUGAUGACUGUUUGUGUGUCAACUUUUCUAAAGACCUCUUUCGACUUUUACCUAGGAUUCACUUUGGCUGCUGUAGUGAGAUUCACUUGAUUCUGUCAGCAUUGGUUGAUUGGGUAGCAAUGGUGUUAUUCAAAAGGAAUGCUGACAGUGGAUCUUACUAUAGUAGAUUAACCAAUACUAGUGUUCCGAGUGCAGGUUUAUGUAUAGAAGAAAAAUGUUUUUGUUAGUAGUUAAAAUGAGUUUCUGUUUUGAGGCUUAUGAUUAGUAGGAUUUUUUGUUGACUGUUUGAAUAAGUUUCUGAAUUGAGACUUCUAUACAGGAGACGAAUAAUUGUUUUUUAAGUUGUGUUGUUGUCUAGAGUUACGUACAGACUUAUGCGUCACGAUCACGCGCAUUUCCCUUUUCAUCAGCUGAUGCUAUGCUUAUUGAGCCAUAUGAAUAAAAACUGAGCAUAUGCUCAUGUGCAUGAUCAUGGAGCAUAAGGUUUUGAUCAUGAGCAUUAGGUACAAGCAUAAGCAUUUGCUCAUUUUUAUAUGAAUAAGCUUUACCUUACCACAGAAUAGAUACAGAAUGAAAACUGUCAAUCAAACGCCUAUCCAACCAAUGCUUUUUACAUGGCACAAAUACUAGACACGUCAUUUGACCUUAGGAAGUUCCAAUCCUGGUCUUCUGAUUGGCUCGCGGCAGUGAACGAAAUCAAUUGAUCCGGAUCAGUAAAGUGAUCCGAACCUCCCAUUAAUACAAUUACAAUGAGGAACUUCCUAACAAGAUGGCGGAUUUUUGCGCCAGGGUACUAGCCGAGUUUCCAUACUGUAUGUAUACUGUGCUCUUACCCUAUGCUCCUGAACUCUGGAGCAAAUGCUCACAUAUUUUAAAGAUUUUUCAUCAGCUGAUUUGCCUUACUUUGUUUUUAUAGUGAAAGGUUAGAAUGUGCUACUCACGUAAGUGCUAAAUAUGCAAGUAUAGACACCAUUGUGUUCGGUCGUCUGCUCUGUUCUCCUAUUAAUGAAUUGAGUUUUAGGUUAUUUAAGUUCUGAAUUUUAAAAUAAUAGCGUGAAAAAAUGUCAUCUCUAUAAUAAUCUUCAGCAUAAUCUUAUAAUCUCAAUAACCUUCUUAUAAUCGUCUACACUCUCAUCUUCUUAAAUUACUAUUUCCUAUUCUGUGAUGGCUAUCUUUAUAUCCGAUAGGUAUCUUUUGUAUUUAUUCUUUUGAAGGAAUAAUGGUGAUAUAUUUUAUGGUUGAAUCUAAAAAGAGUUUUAUAGUUCUCAACUAUUGCUUGUGAUGGUAUCUGGUAUAGGUUCCUCUUUCUCACACGAAUUAGUUGAGCCAUUUUACUUUGAGCAAAAGGUGAAAAGCUGCUCUAGACCAAACUCACUUUUUUUAAAGCAUUUGCUUUAAAAGUUCAGCAAAUGCUCCAGUUUAUUCAUACAAUUUUGAGUAUAAGCUUUUAUUUUUGAGCAAAUGCUCAAACUAUUUUUUUGAUGAGCAUGAGCAAAAGGUUUUGCUCACGUUUAUUCAUAGAAAAUUAAGCAUAUGCUCAAUAUUUUAGAAGUAUAAGCAAAUGCUCAACUUUAUUCAUAUGGCCCAUUAUGUCUGUAUUUGUACAGAAAGUGUAAGAUUCAGUUAUGGUGGGUGAAAAGCGAAAUGCGCGUGUUCGUGGCGAAUAAGUCUGAACGUAGCUUAAGAGGAUAGUUCUUGUAACGCGAGCAAAAAUUGUAUUCAAUUUACAGAUGCUUACAAUGAAGGAGUAUGGAAUGUGAUUUCUCAUCUAACUAACAAGAUAGAUGAUUCAAAUUUGUGUUCAAUAUAAAGUAAUUUUUCAAUUUUGGCUGUAAUUUAUUUUAAAAAGUAUGAAUUUAUUUGGGGAGGUCGUUGAUUGAAAUUUUAUGUAAGGAAUACGUUAAUAUGAAUUAUUUAAGAAUUCUAGUUUGAAAAUUAAAAAAAAAUUUGGCUACUCUGUAUUGACAGUGAGGAGUAUAUUUAAGGCUGUUUGAAUUAAACCGAUCGUUUUCACUUUUAAAAGAAAAUAGUAAAAUAGCAAAUAAAAGUGUUUUGAUUAUAUAUAUUAAUGAAUUAAAGUUUAAAUUUUCAUAAAACUUUGCCAAACUCAAUGUAGAGCAAAGUUUACUUUCAAAGCUGUUUUAAUUAUUCUUUUAACUCUUCCAGAAUUCACAAGCAUGUUCAAUACAAAAGCAUGGAUAUUUUCUAUAGAUGACUCGAUUAUUAUUUUAAAUUUAAAAUUAUAAAGUUACAUUCAAAGGAAAAAUAUUAAGUUGAUGGAGAUAUUUCUGUUAUAAUUUUAUCUUAUGAUUUUAAAUAAUUAUCUGAUUUGUGUUUUUGCAGACUUGCAGUCUCACAAGUUUGGUUUCAAGAUCAUUAGUAUCAUUUUUAAUCAAUUUAUUGUUUUUUGUAGGGUAAUUGAAAAUUGGCAUUGAUUGUGGAAGAUCAUUGGUAAUUUAUUAGUUUUUCUAGAUUCCAAUUUCUUUUGUUUACGAAUAGAUGAAGAGAUUAAAAUAUUUAAACUAUUAUUCUUGUGUUUAUCUAAUUUGGAACUUGUUGAUUCUCUGACAAAGCUAAUUUAUGACAACAUGUAACUUGGAAGCGACUUAUCGAACAGACUUGAGACUUAACGUUCUAAAAUUUGAAGGAUUCAAUGAACAAAUUCAUAAAUUCUGUAAUAUUCAUUUCAAGCCAUCGGUAACGUGAUUCACAUUGUAUUACAACGUAUAGAAAGUCUCAAUUUGUUAAAUUUCAUCGAAUUUUGUGAAUGCAAAUAUAGGUUCAGUUUUAGGAUGGUAUUUUUCUUUUUCAUUUUCUCCCACUUCAUUAACACAAUUAAUCAGUAAAUACUGCAACACUAACCAAAGCUUAACUAUUAUUAUUAAUUUAUUUUUCAAUUUCUGAAAGUAAAUUAAUUUUUAUUACUGUAAAAUAAUCGAAUAUAUCCGAGCAGGAAUUCUGUCAUCCAAGGUAGUUUUGAGUUUUUUGUUCUACUGGCUUCAAUCAGUGCUAACUCACAAAUAAACUCGAUCCAACCUUCAUUGAUUUGGGAAAAUUAAUAACUUUAAGGAGACGUAAAGACAAAUUUUAGAUUGGAAUUAAAUUGUGUUGAGAACAUUCUAAUUACAUUUGCAAAUAUAUGUCAAGAGUAAUAUAUUUUUGAAUCAAUUAAUUGAUUAUGAUAAAAGUAUAAUAGUGUUACAGAAAGAUGGUAAAGACCUCAGCCAAAAAACUAAUUACUCUUACAAUUUAAGACAAUCCAAAGAAUAUAUUUCACAUGCUGAAUUCAAAAAUUAAAAAUUGAAUUCAUACGCUGAAAAUUAGAAUUCACUUAGUCACUAAAACUUGCGAAGAAAACACCAAAUCAAACAGUCAAGAGCUAUUUUUAAUUUUACUUUGCUGAAAAAAAAUGUUAGUGGUACUUGAAUAUUAACAGAUGCAGAGAUCAAAACUGACAAUACACCCACUCUGUAUCCUUUAUCCUACAGCCUCCAACCAGAGUUAGAGCAUAUUUGAACAGACUUCAAACAAAAUUUCAAAACGUUUGCACUAUCUCACAAAUCAAAUAGAUUCACCAUGCAGCAAAUCGUCUUCUCCCUCUUUAUAGUAAUAAUAUAAUAAUAUCAUUAUAUUAUAUAGAUAGGUUGAAGUUGUUCAGUCAGUAAGAAAACCAAAUCUACAAUAAAACUCAGAGAGAAGGCUUCGCUUGGCUUUUGAGUGUGUGUUUGUGUGUUCUAUGAGAAUUUGUAAAAUAUGUGACACGUGACACCGGGUUUUUGUUGCUGUUGAAAACUGCAGAGACAAUGUUGUUCAAUCCGAUACAAUUAUCUGGUUGCAUUAGCAUUGAAAUGAAGUGAGAAUUCUAUACGCAUGGUAUAUUCAUAUACAUCCACAUAUAUGAAUAAUAUUAUAAAUAAAAUAUAGGUAUACUAAUUGGCGGUCGGGCCGUGUUUUUUUAAUUACUACAGUUAAGCUCAUUAUAUAAUAUUGUUCUGUACAUCUUAUUCAAUGAGAAAUAUAAAGAACGACGAAAAAGUUUACCAAUACAAUUAUUAUUAUGAAAAAAUGAUGAUGAUAAUAAUAAUAUAGUAUAAUAAUUUGCAGAUACAAUUUUUUUAUAUAUUUCACAUUACUACAGAAUUUCAUACGAUAAGUGAAUUUGCAAAAUAAUUAAAAAAAACGUAAUAGUAGUAAAUACUCGUACAUGUACGUUGGUAAACAAUUUGAAGAUAUGUGUACAUGUUAUGAGAAAUGUCUUUCCAAAGUAUGGGUGAAUGCAAAUGCAAAGCGGUUAAAAUAUACGGCAAAAAUAGAAAUACUCAACUUGUAAUGAAAACUAACAGUAUUGUAAAAGUUAUUCGCAUCUUUCAAUGACAUGUAUUUAUUGUUUGCUAAAAAUGUUUCAGCUUUUUUAUGGAGAUACCUAGUUUCAUACGUUUUACAGUCCACAAUUCAGAUUUUUUCGUUUUUAUUGAGUUCUUUCUUGAGACAAACUCUGUUCGUUGCUCACAUUGAAUUCUUCACUUGGAAAGUGCGCUAAAAAUGCCAAAUUUAAAUAAUAAUUUACUUUAUACAAGCAGGUAACCCGUGCUCCACUUGGGUCUGAUAAAAAACUUGAUAAACUGGAAACUUGAGUGCAGACGUCAAGAUGUGUCAUUCGUGAAUUACCUAUCCCAUACAUGUAUAAGCCAGUUCUAUCCUUUAUUAUAUUAUAGAUAAACUGAAAUUAUUGACGAGAUUUGAAUCUAUAGAAGAACUAAACCUACUCACUGAUAUUUUUCUAUAGAGAAAAAACCAACUAAUUUUAAGGAUAAACAGCAGAUGCUUACCGGCUUAUUUCUUGAAGACACAUCCGUUUGCGUGGUUUUUAAAUACUAACUCUUCAAAUUAAUUUCAUCAAAUUUAUUUCUGUAUUUGAAUAUCUCUUUUCUGAGAAUAUAAAUUGAUUACAUAACAAUUGAGUAUUUUAUCACCUCAAGACGAAUGAAAAUGGCUUUAUUUUUUUAAUGGUUUCAAUUUAUGCAUUUUUAACGCACUCUUUAUAAUAAAUGAUUUAUUAUACGGGUUUUCCGUUGAUCAAAUGCUGUAGUUAUACAAUAUUUAAAUUCAAUACGGUAUCUAAAUAAUUAUACGGUAUAAUUUCUAUUUAUGUAAUAUUACUUGAGUUCAUUCUUGCAAUUUCUGUAGAAAUAUGUUAAUUUCAUUCAAUAGAAUGCAGUUAGCUAAGCCAUUAAAAUAUGAAACCAGUACUGCCCAUAGUAAUUAACACCACAUAUAUUCGCCUUGUAACCUUCUUUACCUCAACGAUAAUAAACACUAAUAAACACUUUAGUGGAGCUGUUAAACUUAUUAAUAUUGAGACUGAGAUUAUAUAUACUUGUGAAGGAAGAUCUGCAUCUUAGGAGGGCUCCGAAACAAACCUCAUUCGACUUUGAUCACUUCAUUUGCGAAGAACUCAAAUGAAUUAACCAAAUUUAUAGGUGUUCUCUCACCAUUCAAUUUGAAUCGAUUGUUAUUCAUCUAGAUUGAUAUAGUAUGAUUCAAAUAAUUUGGAAGCUGUCGGGUCUAUAAUGUAGUGUGACGCUCGCCUAUUCUCUACAUGCUGCCAAAUUAUCUGAAUUUACUGUAAGCUGAAUGAAUUUCAAUUAUUAACAUUCCAAUGAAUCAACACGGAUAUCAUCUCUCCGAAUUGAAAUGAAUAGAUCUAACAAAAUGGAUGAAUUUAAACGAAUUAUAGUACCGUAAUCGAUAAACAUCCCGAGUUAAUAGAUCUAACAGGAUAAAUGAAGUCUAACAAAUUAUGGCUAGCAAUAUGCAUUCUAUCGAGUGUUAUUAUUAAUAAUAGCUUGACAAUUUUCUUGUAUUUAGUAAGGGAAGAAUUACUUUUGACACAGAAAUAUGGUUUGCAAGAGAAAUGUAUGCUGUUAAAUAUGAAUACCAUUUAGGUUUUUCCUCGUCUCGCACAAUGUUAGGAUUGCAAAACAAAUUUCAACUGUUAUUUAUCAUUUAAUUAGAACUGAUAUUUAUUUAUCAGUCUGUAUAAGAUUCUGAUAUGAAGAAGAUUCGUUUCGGAUAUGAAUUAUUCCUCGCUUUAAAGCUUCAAAAAGAGAAAAACAUAUUCUGAAUAUCUUCUAUUUAAAAUUCACUAUAUAAGAAGAUACCGUAUUUUACUCUUGACAUUUUCAAUUAUCACUUCACAUCUUCAAUUUUCAAUUAUGACAUUUUCGGUAUCAUCACUCGCCUAUGAAGUUUUUAUAAAAAAAUCAAUUCAUUUGAGGUUUGUGUUUCUGGUUGAUACGAAUCACAAAAUUUAGAUUUUGGAAAUUUUCUUGAAAUCUUGUCUACGUAUUAAUUAAUUAUGUUCAUAAUACUUCAUACCAUCCAUUCUCGUUUUCAAAAACAUGCAAAAGCGAAAGUUAUUUUUAGAACAAUGGGCAACAAACUGAGAUUGGCGAAUAACUACUUACUUUAUAAAACGAAAAGGAAGGAAUAUUGUAUUGUAUAAGCUUACUCUUACUCUGUGUCAGAAGUAAACCAUCAUCUAGUUAUUCCUGAUUUCAAAUUAAACUGUAACCGAAUUUGAAUGACUGUAAUUUGAAUGAAUCUAACUAACCAUAUAGAUGAAUUUGUUGCAUGAUUUUUAUUAAUGCUAUAUAUUAUUGCUAUGAAAUAGUUAUUGUUUGCCAAGUAUAUCGGUGCUCUCAAAACGAAUACCCUUAGGGAUUGUGGACUACUCAGAAAAAUCUUUAACGUGUACGUGUAAUACUGAUCAAAUGGCCUGCAAUAAUAUUUAUAAUAUCGUAUAUUACUUACAGCAAAUUACCUAAAACCUCACUAAAAUCCACCCAACCAACUACUGUUUAGAUUCCUCUUGCUGAAAACAAUGUGUUCAUUUGUGGAGUUCAGAAAAUAUAUAAUCAUAGGCUUACUGAGUUUAAAAAAGAAACAAAAAACAUUAUGCCGUAAACAUUUUCAGGGGUUUUCUAUUUAGAAUGUAACUAGCUGACCGUCAACGUAAUACCAUGAACACUCACAUCACAUCACAUCUCAAAUCUUUGGUUCGGGAAAGAGACAUUUUGGACAACGUUGUGAGUCGACAAUUAUUAGAAUAAAUAUUGAAGUAAUAAUAAUUGAAAUACAAUAUUCAAAAAUGAAUAAUUAUUGUCUUCUGUUCAGACUGUAAGCAAAGUCUUACUGUUGAGUUGACUAACUUUUUGUUGAUUAGAAACUUUUCAACUUUCAAAUGGUAUUUCUAUGUACGGAGCUUCACCCAAAAUGGUCAAAAAAUUCAGUGGAAUUUGCUUAGUUUUAAAUAAUGGAAACAACUUAUUAAAACAAAAUAACCUAAUUUUUCACUAUUAAUUGAUUAAUCAUAAUUCCCCAUAGCGAUUGUAGAAGACAAUUCAGAAUCUACUAUGAGUCUUUUGAUAAUGAAGACUCAGUACAGAUAAAAUCAUUGAAUUUGUUACAAGUAAGAUCAUAACUGCCUCUUCUAUUGUUUCAGCAAUAUGAAUUGGAAUGCGAUUUUACAAUUAUAGCAUAUUCUCGAAACCGACCUGCCUACAUUCAUGUUAGUGUCUCCUAUAAUGGUUUUUGCCAAAUCUUGUUUUCAAGCCGAAAGUUAAUAUAAUACCAUGUGCUCCCACUUUCUCAAUUUCCUUCAUCAAGUAAGGUUCUCAUUACCUAAUUUCCAUUUUUGUAAUCUACUCUUUAUUUCAUCAAUAAGCUACUCCAGUGAUAUCAAUUCCUCUCAACUAUAAUUGUCAAAUAAUUGUUUUUGAUUUGUAUAAACAAUAACUUGUUGAAUUAUCAUCACCCCAGUUGAUUAGUAAUAGAGUAAAAAUAUAGAGCAAUAAUAUAUGUGGAACUGGUUGACCCCGAUUUUUGAAAUAAUGUCAACUUGUUUUAUUUCUUACUCUUUUAAAACAACAAUAUUACAAAUUUUACGGUUGAAUUGUAUAACUCAUGAAAUAUUAUUGUAAAGAAGUACUGUUAUUUCCGAUAUAAUGUACAGGGACACUACCAAAACAACACGUGAUGUAAUACUACUAAUGGAUACUAGUUAUUUCUGUUGCCCACAUUUUGAUUACAAGCUAUUUAUAUUAUAAAAUUUUCUGAUUUGUUAAAUAAAAUUUCAGCCCGAAUAUCUGGUUGAUUAAAUAUCUAAAUAUCAGUAGCCCACAACAAUACUCUCACCACCACGAAUAAAGAUGAAUUAUUCUAUUGUGAAACCUUUGUUGAAAAGCAUACGAUUUUUUGUAAGGCAAUAAAUUUGAUUUUUGAUAAUAAACUAUGUUGGUUGUACCACAGAUUCAAACCUGCCUCUGCCUGUAGUUCUACCAUAAUUAGUUUCCAACUAUGGUUAACACGCUAAGGUAAUCUAUACUUUUCAACUACGGUUCCACUAUUGUUAUUACUCGGUAACAUUCACUUCCCUAUUUAUUCUAAUGAUUUCAGUUAUCACAGGGAAAAUGUUCCUAGAGUUUUUCUAGGAAUCUGAUGUUAAUCUUUAUCACGUAAUUUUCUUUUAUAAUUUUUAUGCAGCAGAGCAAGUUGUCAUUUUUUCUUUGAAAUAUUUUUAAUAUUUAACAGUGUAAAACAGUAAAUUUUAUUAUAUUGUAGAGAGAAUUGUCAGUUUUCUUACUGAUUACACUUCAUAACACCUCUCAGUAACACCUUUUGAAAUCGUGUAUUAUGGUUCCACUCAUGUUUUGACAGAUUAUGACGACUGUAACAAAUUGCAUCUAAGAAUAACUUUGUGAUACAAAUUGCCAGGUCCCCCCCCCCCAUGUGUGGAAGUGACACUAGAAUGUAAAUAUAUAAGUAAAUUUGUACAGAUAAGAAUACUAGUAGGGAGGAAGGGGACUUGGAACGUAGUGAUUGUUAGGAUGCAGGAGUGUGUGGCCAGGAAAUAACUAGUGUCCAUUCAGUUGACAGUUGACCAAUUUUCCACUAUGGUUUAAUCAUAUUAUAAUGCCAUUGAAUGACUUCUUCGAAUCGAUUGUAGUGUCUGGAUUAAUUGUUUUAGGAUGUAAUUAUUUAUCGAUGCACUGCCCAGUCGUAAUCGACUAUAGAAAAGCGAUUUAAGUUGAUAAAUAACUAUCUAGUUUAAAUAACUAGAUAAUGUAGCAGAGUGAGAAGUGUAGAGGUACGAACGACCGUCUCUCUUGUCCGAUGCUCAUUGGUUGACACCUCAGCCAAUCAGCGUUCUUCUAUCACACUCCUUUCCUGCUCUGUAAGUUCUGUUAGUGAAAUUGUCUAUAUUAAUUAUUAUUAACGGAUAAAUGAAAAAAAAUGUUACAUAAGUGAAAGUAAAUUUAUAGUUAAGUGACUCGGUCUGAUAAAGUUUUUGUGAUGAUAGGUUAAUGACAUGAAUUCAGAUCUUGGAUUAAAUUUAUAAACCGAUUUAUUAUUGAUAAUUAUAAUUUUAUAAAGUCAUUAAGAUACAUGUUGCACACAACCGUGAUAGUCUUUUGCAAGCCGACAAACUUUCAAACAAGGUUGAUUUCACCCGAUCACACCACUAGAAUGCUCGCAAAAAGAAUAUUGCGUUUGUGUACGACAUCUGUAUUUUCUUGAAUAAAUUAUAAGAAAUA